rnacentral:rRNA from 1 species
UACGUAGGCAGCGAGCGUUGUUCGGAAUUACUGGGCGUAAAGAGUGUGUAGGCGGUGUUCCAAGUUCGGUGUGAAAUCUCCCGCUUAACUGGGAGGGUGCGCCGAAACUGGAAUGCUCGAGCGUGGGAGAGGGAAAGCGGAAGUUCCUGGUGUAGCGGUGAAAUGCGUAGAUAUACAGGAGGAACACCAGCGGUGUAGACGGCUUUCUGGACCAUUGCUGACGCUGAGACACGAAAGCGUGGGUAGCAAACAGG